rnacentral:lncRNA from 1 species
ACUUUCUUCUAUGCAUCUAUUUUUAUGUGGUUUAAAAAAAGAAAAAAAUUAAAAAUAAAUGUAGUGCAUUUUACUAUCACUUAUUUUAUUAUAUAAUUUAAAUAUGACAAAUGAAAUAUAAUUUUGCCAUUUUAGCAUUUAGUAAACGUUACUUUUGAUAUAUUUUGAUUGUUUUUGACACGUAUUAUUAUUGAAUUUAUAAUUAGUACCACUAUUAUUGAAAAAAAAACAAAAAAAAAAAUAGCUGUAAAUAUAUAAACAUAAAGCAAACUAGUCGAUGUAUCAUUUAAAACACAUUAUGUAUUAUCAUGUAAAACGUGAUAUAAGUUUAAAAAAACAAAAUAUUGUACAUAUAUAUAUAUAUAUAUAUAUAUAUAUAUAUAUAUGUAUAAUAUAUAAUUUUAUAAUAAUUUGCAUGCACAUUGAUAAUGUAUUAAAAAAAAAAAAAAAAAAAAAUCUAUAAAACCGCAUCAGAAACAACUAACAUAAUUAAUAAAAACUUUUUUAUGUAAGCUGAUGUUUUAUCUGUAUUAUUUAAAACAUGUCAUAACAAAAAAUAUUUACAUUUACAAUUAUUGUCUGUAUUAUGUUUUUAAUUUAAAAAUUUAUAGCUUGCAACUAAAUCCAUAAAAAUAUUUGAUAGCUUUGUAUAACAUGUAUUAUCAAUUUUUUUUUUUAUUUAUAUAAUUGUAUAUAUAUUUUUGUUUUUUUAAUAGUUUUGUACAACACGUAUUAUCAUACGAAGUAAAAUAUAUCUAUAAUUUUUUUUUUAUUUUUUUAAUUCAUUUGUACAAUCGGAAAAGCAUAAUUCAACAGUAUGGCAGAAGGAAAUCCCUUAGAAAAUAACAAUAAUACAUUAAACUUAACAACAUUGCUUGAAGCAUUAACUAAUGGACCUGAUGGUGAUGCUCAAGAUAUGGAUAGUAAUGGAACAACCAUUGCCACUCAUUUGCGAGUUCGUAGAAGUUUACCGAAUGAUCGUUCUGUGAUGCAACAAGCCAGUGUGUUUAUUACAAAGAUGAAAUUAUUUAUAACAUGUUUUAUGUUGCUUUUAUUAGUUGUGUCUAUCCUUAUUAUUUUGAUACUUGAAUACAAAGUAAGAUUAAUAAAAAUUUCUAUGUAAUAUAUUUAUAUGUAUUUCAUUUUUAUAUAACUCCAUAUAAAUAAUUGAAUAUUUAUACAAUAAUAUUUUAUGCAUAUUUUUUAUUAUAACAGAAAGUUUACAUAGAUCAAAACAGCGUCGUCGUAGAAGACGAUAAAAUCAUAAGAACUAUAUUUGAAAUAAAUAUAAAGAUGCAUUUACUAAACA